rnacentral:rRNA from 1 species
AUGCACGCUGGCGGCGUGCCUAAUACAUGCCAGUCGAGCGAACAGACGAGGAGCUUGCUCCUCUGACGUUAGCGGCGGACGGGUGAGUAACACGUGGAUAACCUACCUAUAAGACUGGGAUAACUUCGGGAAACCGGAGCUAAUACCGGAUAAUAUAUUGAACCGCAUGGUUCAAUAGUGAAAGACGGUUUUGCUGUCACUUAUAGAUGGAUCCGCGCCGCAUUAGCUAGUUAGUAAGGUAACGGCUUACCAAGGCAACGAUGCGUAGCCGACCUGAGAGGGUGAUCGGCCACACUGGAACUGAGACACGGUCCAGACUCCUACGGGAGGCAGCAGUAGGGAAUCUUCCGCAAUGGGCGAAAGCUUGACGGAGCAACGCCGCGUGAGUGAUGAAGGUCUUCGGAUCGUAAAACUCUGUUAUUAGGGAAGAACAAAUGUGUAAGUAACUAUGCACGUCUUGACGGUACCUAAUCAGAAAGCCACGGCUAACUACGUG